UGGAAACAGAUGAUGGCAAGAAGGACUAUCUUCGAUGGCAGUUGCCACAUUCCCACAGCUGAAUCAAAAUACAGAGGUCUCCUGUAGCUCAGGCUAACUACUCAGCCAUGACUACAGCCCUUUAAAUCUGAUUAAAGCCCAGCCUCCCCUGUAUACACUGAAACCCAGCCUGGGUCACUUGAGAUGAUAGUACACACACAGGGAAUCCCAGUACUUUGUAGGCUGUAUCCAGAGAUUCUCACGUUUGAAGCAAGCCAUCUGGGAGGAAACAGAUCACUGUGAGCCUCAGGACAAGGAGAACCCGGGCAUUCAAGGACUUCCGGUUUUCCUCAGCAGUUUCUUAGUUCAGGUCCACCAGUUCUGUUAAUUUAUUAUCACUGUUAUCUUUAACAGAUUUGUUUUCGGCUGGGUGUGGUGGCCCACACCUUUAAUCACAGCACUUGGGAGGUAUAGAUUAUGACUCUGCCAGGUCCC
rnacentral:lncRNA from 1 species